AUUAAUAUCGCUUCAAAUGCAAACUGCACCCUUACUUCAGCAAAUGUCCAAGCUUAAUGGCAACACAUUAUCAAGGACCUUUAAAUGACCCCCUUUAUCUCUUCACAGGAAGGUCUUUGCAAAAUGUAUUGUUGAAGGUUGUCUGCAGUCUUUUAUACCCACCAUUCCGACUAGGAACUCACAACCUCAGCCAGACCAUGGUUGGGAAAGAAACAAAACAUUUACCGGGUUCUGGAUGAAAUGUAACAACAGAUAAGUUUUUCAUGGGUGUUCCACGAGCCAAGGAAGUAGCUUAGAAAAAUGUGAUUCUGAUUGGCACAUUGAAAACCAACCAACCAGAAAUUUCCCCAGAGUUCCUUGCCCACCAAUCUUCUCUUUAUCUGAAAAUAAUACAAUGGACAGUUAAAGAAAUUAAGAUUUGACACUUGUAAGAUAAGUGUGAAGGGAAACAAGGACAGUGGUGAUCCCUUCUGUGAUUCUGCAGACUCAGUUCUAAGUCUGUGAUCAUUCUUUAUUAUAAUAAGUCUAAAUGUUUGGUGUGGACAACAACUCGAAGGGCCCCCCCAUACUCACAAAAUUUAUAUUGUAUAUUUUUUUGUAGCAGAUACUUACCGCGUUUACAUCUCUACAAAGUGAUAAAGUACUAUGUACUCUAGUGGUGCUAUGUAAGAACAAACACACAAACAAUACACUUUUUACUAUUUUCUUUCCUUCUGAGAGUAAAAUUUACACUUGUUCCCAAUUUGUUUGUGUUCGACAUAUUUCUGGAUGUUUGAAGUGGGUGGUAGUAUUGAGCAACAUAAAAGGGAAUAUGUUGAAUUGAGAAGCAAGUGCCUGAAUGUUUGCUGAAGAAAACAGAUCCUGCCAAUAGGUUCAAUGUCAGAUUGCUUCUCUGCAAAAAUAAAAUAAAAUUGCAAAGUGCUUUCAAGAAUGAGAGAGCUGACAAAAGCUUCAAUACUUUCCUCACUUACUUCUUUUCGGAACCAUCCUUACCCACUUGAAGAAGGUAAAAAUGGAACAAAUUCAGAGUUUAUAUUAUUUUCAGUAUUUUCCCCAGCCAUUUUCUAUCUCUGCUUAUUGGAAAAAAUGAACACCAGACCUGUUGAGGGCAUGGCUUAGGUGCAGCUCUUUUGAAAGUGAAUUCUGACACUGAUGAGUUUCAUGUAUGGAGGUUUUCUCUGCCUUCGCCUAAGCCUAAUAGUCUGUCUUCUUUAGCCAAGAUCAGAACGGUGUAAAGUAAUGGAGCAGUUAUGAAAACUUCUGCACGAAAACUUUGAUAUACAGAAUUCUAUCCAACAUUUGGCAACAAUCUAGGAUAUUCUCACAGAUACUCCCCAGCAAUGCAUUCAUCCCAGUCAUAUUUGGACACUCUUUUAUUUCCCUGAACACCUUCCUGUGUCACAUCUUGUGCAGUGUACCAUAUACAGAAUUGGAGAAUAUUGCAGAUGGGGAGAGAAGAAAAGGUAGCGAAGGAUGAAUUAAAGAUUAUGCUGAAAUCCUCUUCUCAUCUCUCCAUGAAGACAGCGUGAAAUCUCUGGGUUAUCUAUAGAGUACCUAAAAUUUUGCUAAAUGAAAGGAUUUAUAUACCAAUCUCAUGUGAAAUCUUGGUAGCAUCCUGUUACUUAUUUCUCCACUGCCUGUGCUGUGGGAAGAAGAAAACAAUGUUGACUGGAAACUUGAAAACCAGUAUUUGAGGGUCAUGGGUAAAUAUAUUGGCUUGGAUCCUGAGUUUGAUUCUGUGACCAGAAGACAAAGUAUACAAAUGGAACAGUUUUCCCCCACCUGCACCCCCAAUGGAUCUUACUUGGGAGACUUGUGGGGUAUAUGUUGUGUGGGGCUGCAGAUGGAGGAGUUACUUGGUAGAAGUCAUCCCCCACCUUACAUGAGUGGAAGAGCAGGAGUCCCUAAACUUUCAGGGCCCAUGGGAACAUUUGGAACUUGUUUGUUUGUUUGUUUGUUUGCUGUAGGGAAUUUUGCUAGUCAUCUAAUGGCUACUGUGGUUCUUGGGAGGCAUGCUAAGUCACAAAUUGCUGGGAGCCCUACAUGGCUGGCUGGCUGUCCACAAGUUCUCCAUGCUGUGUCUGUAUUUCUGGAAGGAAGGUGAUCAGGCAAGGCAGCUAUCUAGAAGGAGGGCGAAAUAACACAGACCCCCAGAAAGAAAGGUGUGGAAACAAACAGACUCAUAGAGAGGAUUAAUCCUGGUGGAGGGCAGGACAAAUAAUCACAGAUCACCAGAGAGGAGAAGGUAACGGAAAAGCACAGACUCCCAGAGAAUCAGAUGCUUACCACGAGCCGCUUGGGGCACAAUUCACUGUGGUAGAGUGACGUAUAAAUAAUCCAAGGUGACUAGUGGCUACUCCCAAAUCUGUGAUGUUGGGAGAAGGAAGUCUUGCUUUCUUAAUACAAACGUCUUUUUAAAAACAACUGUAGCUCUUUCUACCAUGAGUUUCACAAGAUCUCUGUUGCCUGUAGCAGAGGUGGGUUGGUCUGAGUUUGGAGACACCCCUCCACCAAAUAAUCACAUAGUUCAGAGGAAGGAGACUCUGCCUAUAACCAAGAGGUGGCAAUAUUCCAAAGAGCAGAUAUAUAGCCACCAUUAAUUGUAAAGAGUAUUGUCGAUGUACCAAAAGUUUACUUUGAACAGUGUUUUUUGAGCUGUGUUAGCUAGUGUUACUCAUGUUCUAAAUCUAUUUGCUGUAUGAAGUUCAGAGAAAACAGGUGACUCUUAAAAUCCACACAAGCCACCUGAAGGCUGCUCAUUCAUUAUCUUAAAAAGCCCACUCUCUACACGGUUUACUCCUGCUGCAGUUCUUUCAUCAAAGCCUAAUGGUUUGUUUCAAAUAAUCAAAGUAGAGUUUAUAUCACUGUCCUCAGGUGUAACUAUUUUGUUUCCAGGAGAGCAUUAUACCACAUACCGAUGUCACAAGCAAUAAAUCAGAUGAUUUUCCCCUCCCCCCUCAGCCUUAGCCAAUCUUGUUCACAUUUCUAGAACCGCAACAUUUGUGGCUUUUGGGAGGGGGGUGGAGAAUGUGCACAGAAAACAUUGUAUGUGAAACGACACUUCCAUGUGCCCCUUUUAAAUGCCAACAAAUAAACCAAAUUUAUGUGUGUAUUGCCCUGAAUAAAGUGUUUGUGCUGCUGUCUGAGAGGAAGCCAUUCCUUUUUUUUAAAUCAAUGCACUCUUUUUUUUCUUGCACCAAAUCUCAAGCCUUUAUUUUCACGGAGCAGCUUUUUUUUGGGGAUCCAUGUUCACUCCAAAAAUACAGUUUUAAAUCAACCUUCUAAACAAACCAGAAGGUUUUAGGCAACAUUAUGCCCCAGGUUAUGUUUUGGAUGACUUCAUAUCAUUGGAGCCGCCAGAAUGAAAAAGCCAAGAUGGAAAUCCAGCCCUGCGCCAUAUUUUCUACUAAACUUGUACAUUCUACUUGCACAACAUGGUUCUCAGCAGUGUUGCACCCUAUUAUGUUGGUCAUUUUGGAUUGGCAUGGGAAUGACUCUGAAGCUAUUAUUCCCUUCACCAAAGGAGACCUGGAAUGUCACGUAGGAAAUGCCUGCUAUGUACAAAGUACACUGGGAAAUGAAACUUGUCUGACUAUCAAUCAUGUCUCAUUUUCAGUUAAUGGAAUGACACAGAUAUCAGCAGUAGGAGAUUUUUGUCAGUCCUAUUAAGCACAGGGUGAGAGUUGCCUAUAUUACAGCUUAAGGGGGUAACAGGGGAAUAAAUGACACACAGGACAAAAGGCUUUCUUUACUGCAGCGACUGAACUAAUAUAAGUGUUAAGUACAAUCACCAUCAAUACCCCGUGGCAAACAGUCAAUACUCACCUUGACACGUUUUCCUUGUUCAAACCAAAGGCCUAGUUUUAUGGAUCCCUACUGACAUAGGAUGCAAAUAUAAUACUACAUAUGCAAGUUUCAAACAGUAGCAUCCCAUGAAAAACAGCUGGUACAACAAAGAUUUCCAUUUUUAUUCAUUUACCUUGUAGAGUUUGAAAUGCAAUAUAAAUUAUGACUGAAGCAAGAAGCCAGCCACACUGUAUUCCUUUGCACAAUGAUCCAUCUGCUCCUUAAAAACCCAAACUUGGUGAUUCAUCCAAGUCUGACAGGGUUUAUCUCAAGAAGGCAGGGUCUAUUCUACCAGCAUGCACUACCAGACAAAGCAGAGCAGAUAAAGUUGUGAAAUUAAAUAUGGCUUGUAAAUUUGCCGUAAAGAUGAUUAUGUCUUAUUGAACUUCCUCCUACAGAUUUAAUGCUCUAUAAACCUGAGGU